AGUAGUUGGCCCCGCCUCCAAGCGUGCAACUGUCAGUGAGCAACCGUUAGCCGACCCAUCUCACCCAAUGGUCCCCAGAGUGGUGGUCAGUGAUCGUUGGUGGCCGUCAGGUGGAGAGUGAGGCUCAGGAAUACCUUGGCCAUUUGGAAAAAAGUUCCCUUGAAGAAAACUUCCAUGUUCCUGUGUAAUUUCUCUUUGAUGAGCUACUGUUACAUCCUUCUACUGUUGAAUGCAAGGAACUCCUCAUUUAUUAUUCCUUCUCUCCCUCUCUAUGCCAGAAAAUCAUAGGAUUAUCUUGGAAAAUAUGUCCAUUGUUACAUAGUUUUAUCUGUGUGCAUAUGUCACAGCAGCAAGAAUUGAGCAAGUUUAUUUGGGUUUCUUUCACCUACCAUUUGCUUAGCCCUUCAGCAUUGAUCUGUUACAGGGUUGAUAAGC